UACGGGAGGCAGCAGUGGGGAAUCUUCCGCAAUGGGCGAAAGCCUGACGGAGCAACGCCGCGUGAGCGAAGACGGCCUUCGGGUUGUAAAGCUCUGUUAUACGGGACGAACGGGGCAGAGGUUAAUACCCUUUGUCAGUGACGGUACCGUAAGAGAAAGCCACGGCUAACUACGUGCCAGCAGCCGCGGUAAUACGUAGGUGGCAAGCGUUGUCCGGAAUUAUUGGGCGUAAAGGGCGCGCAGGCGGU
rnacentral:rRNA from 1 species